rnacentral:SRP_RNA from 1 species
GCCGGGCAUGGUGGCAGAUGCCUGUAACCCCAACUACUUGGGGGGCUGAGGCAGGAGAAUCGCUUGAACCUGGGAGGUGGAGGAUGCAGUGAGUCAAGAUCGUGCCAUUGCACUCAAGCCUGGGCAACAAGAACAAAACUCUGUCUCAAAAGAAAGAGAGGAAAAAAGAAAAUAUUUAUUUUUAUUUUUGAGACGGAGUCACUUUGUCACCCAGGCUGGAGUGCAGUGGCAUGAUCUUGGCUCACUGCAAUCUCUGCCUCCCAGGUUCAAGCAAUUCUCCUGCCUCAG